rnacentral:rRNA from 1 species
GACGAACCGUCCUAACGUUGUUCGGAAUCACUGGGCUUAAAGGGCGCGUAGGCGGGCUCUCAAGUCCGGGGUGAAAUCUUUCGGCUCAACCGGAAAAUAGCCUUGGAUACUGGGAGUCUCGAGCGAGGUAGGGGCGGGUGGAACUUCCGGUGGAGCGGUGAAAUGCGUUGAUAUCGGAAGGAACGCCGGUGGCGAAAGCGACCCGCUGGACCUCUUCUGACGCUGAGGCGCGAAAGCCAGGGGGAGCAAACGGG